GGCUUCGUAGCUCAGCUGGUAGAGCGCUUGCCAUGUAGAGGCAUGAUGUGUCUGUCGCUGGUUCGAAUCCAGUCGAAGCCC
rnacentral:tRNA from 1 species